rnacentral:rRNA from 1 species
UACGUAGGGUGCAAGCGUUAAUCGGAAUACUGGGCGUAAAGCGUGCGCAGGCGGUGAUGUAAGACAGAUGUGAAAUCCCCGGGCUCAACCUGGGAACUGCAUUUGUGACUGCAUCGCUGGAGUGCGGCAGAGGGGGAUGGAAUUCCGCGUGUAGCAGUGAAAUGCGUAGAUAUGCGGAGGAACACCGAUGGCGAAGGCAAUCCCCUGGGCCUGCACUGACGCUCAUGCACGAAAGCGUGGGAGCAACAGG